CUGCUGCCCAGACCGAAGCUACUCCGCAAGCUAAUGCAAUUUCAGUUGUGCCUCAUACUUCACCUUCGGCUGGCACGGAACCAAGUUCUGCGACACCUGGUCCUCUUCUUACGUUUACCUCCAAGGACUCCGGUUCAGUUUUACCUGCUCCUGUUCCUGCAUCAUCUUCUGCAUGCAUGGAACUAAGUUCAGUUUGCCCUGUUCCUGCUGUUGCAUCCUCCUGUUCCAGCAUGGGUCCAACCUCGUCAGCACCUGCUCCUCUUCUUUUAGCAUCUAAUGCAACAGGAAAAUUAGAUUCUGGAUCGGAUAAGGGGACAUUUUCUUGCUCUUCUGCUAUUUCAGGCCAUGACGAUUCUUUAUGUGAUUCUUCUAUCUUGAAGAAUAUUGGUCAAGGAGAUUCUGGUGUAGGAACUGGUCAUACUUCUGAUCCAGUGCCACCAUUGCCUGCAAUUUCAUCGGUUUCACAGUAUAGCACUCCUCCCACUGCACCUAAGCCAGGUAGAGGACGAGGACGCAAGCCUCAAACUGGAAGUGAGCCACCACGGCGCAGGGGGAAGAGACAGGAUUUGAUCACCACAACUGUUACUGAGGGGUUAGGUGCUCAGGAUCCAAGAUCAAUUGAACCCCCACAAAAGAGAACCAGGUUAUCUGUUGGGAGGAAGCCCACUACAAGAAGCAAGCGUGAGAAUGAAGCUCAACAAGUAGUUGUAGACCAGUCGGUUGCAUCUCAAAGGACUCCAGAUUUUUCUGGACAAAUCCCUAAAGAUAUGGUCCGUAGUGAAGUUGAUCCACAGAACAAUGCUAUCAACAGAGACGCAUCUCAAUCCCAUGCUAUUCUGGUUCCUGGUCAGGUGGGUGAUAAUGUAAACCCGGAUACUGCUACUGCUGAAAAGGUUCUCGAUGAUGCUCAGAGAAAGGCAACUGUGAUCCAAUCUGUUGCACCUCAAAGUUGCUCUGGUCCUCCUAUUGAGCUGCAGAUUAACAUGGUCAACUCUGGCGAUUCUCCUGCUCAGGUUGGUGUAUCUGCUGAAGAGGUUUAUACUGUAAUUUGAAUUUUGAAACUGCUAUGACUUAAAAGGUUCUCCAGGAAGUGCAGGAACAAACAGCAAUUGUCCAGUCAGAUGCAUCUCAAAUGAUUCCAGAUCCUAGUGCAAGGCCAAUCCCUCAAGCUAUGGUGCGUUCUGAAGUUGAGCUACAUAGAAAUGCUAUCAAAUCCGAUGCAUCACAAUCCAGUGGUCAUGUUGCUGAACGGGUAGAUACUGUAAAUAUAAGCUGUGGAGCUGCUCCAACUAAGGAGGUUCUCAGUGAGGAUCAACAGAUAAUGAAAGUUCAGUCAGCUGCAUCUCAGACGCCUUCAGUUCUCUCUGUUGGGAAAAUCCCUGAAGAUAUAGCGUUUAAUGAAGUUCAGCCGCAGUCUGAUGCUAUCCAAACAGAUCCAUCGUCCCAUGUUACUCUUUCUUCUGCAGGGGUGGACAAUCUCAAGGAAAAGGAAAAUGCUAUGACUAGAGAGAUCCCCUUGGUAACUCCACUAUCAGAGACCAAAGAAGAGGGAUAUUCGAGAAGUAAAUAUGACAGCCAUCCAAAUUUACCUGUAUCUUGUGAUGAGUUGGCUGUAUCAACUUCAGGAUCAAUGGCUCAGGUUAGUGAUUGUCUGGUUGAGGAGAGUGAAGGUGAUUCUAAGGGUGAAGGUGCUGAAAAGAGUGAAACUAAUUCUAAAGGUGAAGGUGGUAAGAUUGAGGCUAUGAAUGACAAAUGUGAGAGUGAUAGUAAGAAUGAAAAUGAUG
rnacentral:lncRNA from 1 species